rnacentral:lncRNA from 1 species
UGAUGAGGAGGAUAGCCAGCAGGAGGAUAACCAGCAUGACCAGGCGCAGGAGGAUAACCACCAUAACCAGGAGCAGGAGGGUAGGCACCAGGUGGAGGUGGGUAUGCACCCGGAGGAUAACCAGGUGCAGGUGGGUAGGCACCAGGUGGUGGGGGAGGGUAAGCUUGUUGUGGUGGGUAUCCAGCUGGUGGAUAAGCCCCAGGACCUGGCGGGUAUCCAGCGGGUGGGUACCCAAAAAAACCUUUGUCUUUGUCUUCCUCACCUCCCAUGUUUUCUCUCAAUCAACAAAAC